UACAGAGGGCGCGAGCGUUGUCCGGAAUCACUGGGCGUAAAGGGCGCGUAGGUGGCCACUAUAAGGCCGCGGUGAAAGUUCGGGGCUCAACCCUGAAUCUGCCGCGGCGACUGUAGGGCUAGGGCACCGUAGAGGCAGAUGGAAUUCCGGGUGUAGCGGUGGAAUGCGUAGAGAUCCGGAAGAACACCGGUGGCGAAGGCGGGUCUCUGGGCCGAUACUGACGCUGAGGAGCGAAAGCGUGGGGAGCGAACAGG
rnacentral:rRNA from 1 species